UACCAGCACCCCGAGUGGUCGGGACGUUUAUUGGGCCUAAAGCAUCCGUAGCCGGUUCUACAAGUCUUCCGUUAAAUCCAGCUGCUUAACAGAUGGGCUGCGGAAGAUACUAUGGAGCUAGGAGGCGGGAGAGGCAAGCGGUACUCGAUGGGUAGGGGUAAAAUCCGUUGAUCCAUUGAAGACCACCAGUGGCGAAGGCGGCUUUCUGGACGGUAACUGACGCUGAGACGCGAAAGCGUGGGGAGCAAACAGG
rnacentral:rRNA from 1 species